AUCCAUGUUUUAGAAAAUGGUGG
rnacentral:miRNA from 1 species